ensembl:misc_RNA 7SK 7SK RNA
CAAAGUGAGGGCAAUCAGGCUGUGCGAAAUCUGUCACCCUAUUGAUCACCACGGUUGAUUUGGCUGAUCUGACUGGCUAGUACACGUCCCCUUCCUCCCUCACUGCUCCAUGUGCAUCCCUCCUGAAGCUACAAUUUUGGUCAAAGAGGAGAGUCACCCUCAAUAGAGGAGGACCAUUUCCUUAGUCAAAGGGACGAAACUGACCUCCCUGCUAGAAUCCCCAAACCAGCUCUCAUUAGAAAAGUAUGGUAUAGGUACCUGCCACCAUCAGUGAAAAUCUGAGGGAGCCACAUUAGUUCAGUCCUGUUAAU